GUUGCAGUUAAAAGCUCGUAGUUGAACCUUGGCUCUGGCUGGCCGGUCCGCCUCACCGCGAGUACUGGUCCGGCUGGAGCUUUCCUUCUGGGGAACCUCAUGGCCUUCACUGGCUGUGGGGGGAACCAGGACUUUUACUGUGAAAAAAUUAGAGUGUUCAAAGCAGGCCUUUGCUCGAAUACAUUAGCAUGGAAUAAUAGAAUAGGACGUGCGGUUCUAUUUUGUUGGUUUCUAGGACCGCCGUAAUGAUUAAUAGGGAUAGUCGGGGGCGUCAGUAUUCAGCUGUCAGAGGUGAAAUUCUUGGAUUUGCUGAAGACUAACUACUGCGAAAGCAUUCGCCAAGGAUGUUUUCAUUAAUCAGGGAACGAAAGUUAGGGGAUCGAAGACGAUCAGAUACCGUCGUAGUCUUAACCAUAAACUAUGCCGACUAGGGAUCGGACGGGAUUCUAUUAUGACCCGUUCGGCACCUUACGAGAAAUCAAAGUUUUUGGGUUCUGGGGGGAGUAUGGUCGCAAGGCUGAAACUUAAAGAAAUUGACGGAAGGGCACCACAAGGCGUGGAGCCUGCGGCUUAAUUUGACUCAACACGGGGAAACUCACCAGGUCCAGACAAAAUAAGGAUUGACAGAUUGAGAGCUCUUUCUUGAUCUUUUGGAUGGUGGUGCAUGGCCGUUCUUAGUUGGUGGAGUGAUUUGUCUGCUUAAUUGCGAUAACGAACGAGACCUCGGCCCUUAAAUAGCCCGGUCCGCAUUUGCGGGCCGCUGGCUUCUUAGGGGACUAUCGGCUCAGCCGAUGGGAAGUGCGUGCAUAACAGGUCUGUGAUGCCCUUAGAUGUCUGGGCCGCACGCGCGCUACACUGAC
rnacentral:rRNA from 1 species